GAGGCUGUAGCUCAAUGGCAGAGUGCUUGCCUAGCAUGCAUGAGGCACUGGGUUCAAUCCUCAGCACCACA
rnacentral:tRNA from 1 species